rnacentral:lncRNA from 1 species
GCGUGCGUGUGUGUGUGUGUGUUGCUAUCUCAUAGCAUCUGUUUAUUUCCAUGUCCGCAGCAAAGUGCUGGGCACACAGAAGGACAACGUGAUGAAGCGCCAUCACAUGGCUGGUAGCCUGUGGUGAGUCACCGGACUUCUCGACUCCCACCUCACUAGGGUGGAAGGAACAGUAACCACAACGCUCUGCAACUCGGGCUGCGCCCGCAUGAUUGGAAACAAUCUGUGAAGUGAGUCACAUCAGUUGCAAAAACAAUUAAGUCAGUGGGAUUGUGGAGUGAACAACCCCGAAGAAAUAGACUUCUAAUUCUAGCCUUUUGGAGAUUAUUAACCCAACUCCCAGAUUCUACAGAUGAGAAAAGGGAGGCCCAGGGAGGUGGAGAAACAUGUGUAGGAUCACAGAGGUGAAAAAUGAGUGUUUGCUUGGCUAAGUUCAACUGUACCUACUUGUCUCCAGAGACUGCUCAGGAACUAGAACACCCUGAUACAACACAGGCACUUGUGAUGGAGAUAUUCCAUCAAAAGUGGAAUAGGGCAUGAAGGAGAAUUAUCUCCUAAAAGCUGGGAAGUUUCUCCUAAUCCUUUUUAGGGUGUCUUCCCUGUAUCCCAAAUGCUCUUCAACUGCCCAGGGCUCACGUCAGUCUCCAAAGAACAGUGUCCCAAGUAGAGGGGAAUGUGUAUGAUGCCACGUUGGCUGAA